AUUGAACGCUGGCGGCAGGCCUAACACAUGCAAGUCGAGCGGAGCGGCGGACGGGUGAGUAAUGCCUAGGAAUCUGCCUGGUAGUGGGGGAUAACGUCCGGAAACGGGCGCUAAUACCGUAUAAUAUCAGAUGAGCCUAGGUCGGAUUAGCUUGUUGGAGGGGUAAAGGCCUACCAAGGCGACGGUCCGGAACUGGUCUGAGAGGAUGAUAAGUCAAACUAGAACUGAGACGAGGUCCAGACUCCUAUGGGAGGCAGCAGUGGGGAAUAGUGGACAAUGGGCGAAGGCCUGAUCUAGCCAUGCCGCGUGUGGUAAGGAGGGCUUCGGAUUGUAAAGCACUUUAAGUUGGGAGGCGUUACCAACAGAAUAAGCACCGGCUAACUUCGUGCCAGCAGCCGCGGUAAUUC
rnacentral:rRNA from 1 species